UACGAAGGGGGCUAGCGUUGCUCGGAAUUACUGGGCGUAAAGCGCACGUAGGCGGCUUUCUAAGUCGGGGGUGAAAUCCUGGAGCUCAACUCCAGAACUGCCUUCGAUACUGGAGAGCUCGAGUCCGGGAGAGGUGAGUGGAACUGCGAGUGUAGAGGUGAAAUUCGUAGAUAUUCGGAGGAACACCAGUGGCGAAGGCGGCUUACUGGUCCAUUACUGACGCUGAGGUGCGAAAGCGUGGGGAGCAAACAGG
rnacentral:rRNA from 1 species